GAUGAACGCUAGCGGCAGGCCUAACACAUGCAAGUCGAGGGCAGCACGUCUUCGGAUGGUGGCGACCGGCGCACGGGUGCGUAACGCGUAUGCAACCUACCUCUUACAGUGGGAUAGCCCAGAGAAAUUUGGAUUAAUACCGCAUAGUAUACAGAUUCAGCAAUUGGGACUGUAUUAAACAUUUAUGGGUAAGAGAUGGGCAUGCGUUCUAUUAGUUAGUUGGAGUGGUAACGGCACCCCAAGACAGCGAUAGAUAGGGGCCCUGAGAGGGGGAUCCCCCACACUGGUACUGAGACACGGACCAGACUCCUACGGGA
rnacentral:rRNA from 1 species